CAGCCGCCGCGGUAAUACCGGCGGCCCGAGUGGCGGUCACUAUUAUUGGGCUUAAAGCGUCCGUAGCCGGGUUGGGAAGGCCUCCGGGAAAUCUGGCCGCUUAACGGUCAGAAUGCCGGAGGAUACUCCCAGCCUAGGGAGCGGGAGAGGCCGAGGGGAUUCCCGGAGGAGGGGGGAAAUCCUAUAAUCCCGGGAGGACCACCUGUGGCGAAGGCGCUCGGCUGGAACGCGUCCGACGGUGAGGGACGAAGGCCAGGUGAGCAAACCGGAUUAGAUACCCGGGUAGUCCUGGCGGUAAACGAUGCGGACUUUGUGUCGGACAAGCUAUGAGCUUGUCCGGUGCCGGAGGGAAACCGUUAAGUCCGCCGCCUGGGGAGUACGGCCGCAAGGCUGAAACUUAAAGGAAUUGGCGGG
rnacentral:rRNA from 1 species